CAAUAGCGUAUAUUAAAGUUGUUGCAGUUAAAAAGCUCGUAGUUGAAUUUUUGCUUGCCGCCGAUGUCGGAACUUCCGUACGUUCGGCGGCGUGCAUCCUUGGGUGGAACCUGUGUGGCAUUAGGUUGUCGUGCAGGGGAUGCUCAUCGUUUACCGUGAAAAAAUUAGAGUGUUCAAAGCAGGCUUACGCCGUUGAAUAUAUUAGCAUGGAAUAAUAAGAUAGGACCUUGGUACUAUUUUGUUGGUUUGCGCACCGAGGUAAUGAUUAACAGGGACAGUUGGGGGUAUUCGUAUUCCAUUGUCAGAGGUGAAAUUCUUGGAUUUCUGGAAGACGAACUACUGCGAAAGCAUUUACCAAGGAUGUUUUCAUUAA
rnacentral:rRNA from 1 species